GCAUUUUGAGUUCUCCAGAUAUCAGGAAAGCUAAGUGAUACAAACUUCUGCUCAUUAAAUCAUAGAUGGCGGCUUUCAACCACAGUCUUCUCCUAGCUUUAGUCCUAGCAUCAUCGCUUUCGUGCAUGGAUGUGAGUUCUGCAGCACGGCACUUGAUGCAAUCUUCACAGCCAACAAUACCAACUAUACCAACAUUGCCAACCAUUCCAAAUAUGCCAAAGGUCUCAUUGCCUCCAUUGCCUGCAAUGCCAACCCUUCCCAAAGCAGCAUUGCCCCCUAUGCCUACGACUUCGCUUCCAACAAUACCAUCUUUACCAACUAUCCCUACCACAAUCCCCAAGGUCACAUUGCCUCCUUUGCCCUCAUCACUCCCAACCAUUCCCACCACAAUGCCUUCCUUACCAACUUUUAACAUCCCGACAACUAUGCCCUCCAUCCCAUUCUUUACACCUCCGCCAUCAGCCACUAGCCCUUAAGUUCUCCCACGACAUCUACAUACGGAUUGAUCACUUCUUUCAUUGUUGUACCAUCUCCAUAGUUUAAAAUAGGCCAUGGUCAUAUGUUGUUUUGCUUCCUCUAUUUUAUUGUUCCUCAUUACUACUCAUGUUGCUUUCUGAUUGAAGUGAGUGUUUGUGCUUUCUGUUGUAUCUAUUAAUAUACAUUGAUUCCCUGUGUUAGUUAUUUGUGGAUAGUUAAGUCAUUACAAAGUUAAUUUGCCCCUGCAUAGUCAGUACAUCUAGAGUGAUCCGCGUUAUACAGCUAUAGUUACUCUUAAAGAUAUUUUACAUUCCAAGACGAAGAAUCU
rnacentral:lncRNA from 1 species